GGGCCCGUAGCUCAGCGGUUAGAGCAACCGGCUCAUAACUGGUUAGUCCUCGGUUCAAAUCCGAGCGGGCCCACCA
rnacentral:tRNA from 1 species